UACGUAGGGCGCAAGCGUUAUCCGGAAUUAUUGGGCGUAAAGAGCUCGUAGGCGGUUUGUCGCGUCUGCCGUGAAAGUCCGGGGCUCAACUCCGGAUCUGCGGUGGGUACGGGCAGACUAGAGUGAUGUAGGGGAGACUGGAAUUCCUGGUGUAGCGGUGAAAUGCGCAGAUAUCAGGAGGAACACCGGUGGCGAAGGCGGGUCUCGUGGGCCGAAACUGACGCUGGAGGAGCGAAAAGCGUGGGGAGCGAACAGGAUU
rnacentral:rRNA from 1 species